AUGGCCGGUCCUGCGGGGAGAGGGGAGAUCCGGCGCCGUAGGCGGCGGGCGGGCAGAACGCGGGGCCGCGGGGCGGGGCCGCCUCAUCCCAGCCCUCCACCCGGUCCCGGGCCCAAGGCUCCCGGCCCCCGCCGCACCUCAGUGCCCGACGCGCCGACUCAGCCGACGCCAACUGCCCGGCCGACGCCCAGCCAGCUGUGCUCAGCCCCGAGUCACGCGCGGAUUGGUCGGCGCGGCCCACGUGACCCCCGCAGGCCGGACACUGUGCGGGCCCCGCCCCCAGCCUUCGGCGGGCGAGCCGGGGAGGACGACGCGUGGGAGCUGGGGCUGGAGGGGACCUCGGCUGCGCCUGCGCCUGGGGCGCGCGGUUCAGACCUCGCAGACCUGGCCCCGCGCCAAGCGGCUCCGGAGGCGGCGCUUGGCCGCCCGCACCGCUUCUUCCGGGCACCGAGUCUCUUGGACUCGUCAUGCAUGGAGAGAACCUGUUAUCCGGAAGUGAAGGACUCUGCCUCAGGAUGGGGAAGUCUACCCCUUUCCCGGGAUGCGUCGCUGAUGCUUCCCCAGAGGUCUCUGGUCCGGGCUGACGGUCUUCCAAACCCUCUUCUACCUGGUGUACGUCUGGAGGAUCAACUGGAACCGUGCGGCAGAGCAGCUUGCAUGGCACUGCCCAAGACAGGACCUCACGCACACUCACACAUGAGACUGGACACGCAAGAGUGCCACACACACACCGUGGCCAGCAGUUACUGCUGGAGGACCUGCUCUCCUGGAAGACAGAAGGUGUUAAAUGUAAGGUGGGAUAAAGAACACAGCCAGCCAGGGACACCAACGUGCAGACUUAAAAACCACGGUAAGAGUUAACAUUUGGGAGAAAAGUUCACUUAAGAUUGUAAUGCUUUUCUUGAUGUCCAGGAUGAUAAUGUGAAUCUUCAGAAUAAGAACAUGAAGCUGGCAUCCCUUUCCUGCUCGGCUGGGACCGAAGCCACGGUCCAGGUGAAGAGCUCACCUCCCAUGCUGCACGUGUGGCAUGUCGUUCUCACUGGUAGUUUGGGGCUGGGAUGAUUCCAUUUCAGCCACGGUCGGUGAAGAGUCUUAUUAAAAUUCCCACUGCGAGGACAGCAACAGCCAAAACUGCAGCCGCUCGGCCCUAACACAGUCAGCUGAAUCCCCGUCAGGAUGUCAUGGCAGGGGCCGCCCUGAUCAGCUGCACAGUCUGGCUCUCGAGUCAGAAGAGGUCCAGCAGGAAGGCCCCAGCCAGUGCUGCUUUCUCCAGGUUGGACAGAUCUGUUUGUACAGAACAGGGAGAUGAUACUUACUUACAUGGGAAUCUGAGUGAAGGCGUUCCUGGGUGUGACAUGAGCCCACGUGGUCGUCGGUCACUGGCUGUUAACACACGGGCCACAGUAGCCACACCCCAACGGGGGCCUGGAGCCCAUCUCCUGGUCAGAGGGCAGGACUAGCCACAUGGGCAGGGAGCAGGGGCUCCUGCACCAGCGACUCUGAGCUCCAGGUAGGAAAGGCAGAAGUGAGAAUACUAGAGGACACCCCCUCACCUAUGGAGCUGGAUAUGGCCUCUUUGUCCCCUCACAUACUGGCUCAAACCUGUGUCAGAGGCAAACAAAGUACAGCCAUGCUGGCCGGUUCCGUGGUCAGACUGGUUAUGCUUCUGCGGGAGCUACGCUAGAAGUUUCCGCCCCAAGCGCAGUCUUGCUCAGUCCUGACAGUGACAGUGAACAUGACACUGAGACCACUGUCGUCCUCCCCAGCAACAGCUCGUGAAAAUAACAACGCCCUGUACACUCUCUGCCUCCGUGGACCACACUGAAGGGGGGGAGCAUGUGACCUGUCCCCACGAGCAGUCUUGAGGGCCCUGGAGCCUCGAGGCGGUCGGGGCGUGAACAGUGCUGGUCUGCACCCCUCGGCUACUCCUCACGUCCCCAUAUCCAUGACAUCUCCCCUUGGCUGACCUCCCACCAUCUCACCCUGAACCUGACACAGUUGGCAGGGCUCACCCUUCAACCCAGAGACACCCCGAGUGUCAAGAUCCCGGUCCUCCACCCACAGGACAGGCUCUGCCCCUAUGGACCUCCCUGACCACAGACACUUGGCAUCUGCUUCCAUUUGCUCAGGAAACCAUGGAGCAAAGAUCCUUGAGACGCUAGAACUAGACAACAGGAAAAACGGGGAGCACUACUGUUCUCCCAAGACGACCUCACACAUGAGUUUCUAAGCUAACUCUCUGGCUGUGCCUGCUUAGCAGAGGAGAAAUUAGCUCCAUAUUGAGGACACAGGUUUCCUUUGGCCCUCACUCUCAUGUCCAAUGCCUCUUCACGAGUCACAGUGCGUCCUACUGGCUGUGGGCUUCUUACCAUCCUCACCCUGGAAGAGUCCUCGCCUGCCCUGGGAUCACAGCACGCACGCACAUGCACACUCCCCUCCUCCAGGGGCCCCCG